CAGUGCUCGUCGGGACGUCGCGCCCCCUUCAGGCGUGGGCGUCUCGCACCUGCCCAACCGUGUCUACCGUUUCCCUUGUUGCCUCGGCGGGACUGCCGGGCAGGAGGCUGCCUCAUCGUAGGCAGGGCUCCUGCGCGUGGCAGCACGCGUCACCCGGCCAGCGCCCGCCAGAGGGACCCUUCUGAAUCCUGUGAAAUCUAGUGUUGUCUGAGUUGCCUAGUGAAAUACAGUUA
rnacentral:misc_RNA from 1 species